UUCAACCUAUCCUGCCCUCCAAUCUUUCGCUUUCCAAGAGCUUCGUGAAAUAGAGAUAAACGAGAAAGAUCGGUUUUACGAGGUAGGAAAAGUGUUGGUUUAAAGAUGGCGAAAGACAAGUGUCAACGAGCCUUGACAAUAGCUAAUCGGAAUGGCUGCGUUGUUCUAUUCUCGUCGUCGCAUCAUCGGAUAAAUGCUUUUUUCCCACGAGUUACAGUGCAAUGACGAAAGAGAGAGAGAGAGAGAAAGAAAGAGAGAGAGAGAGGAGAGGAGAGGAGAGGAGAUGAGGAGAGAAGGAGGAGUACCCAGGUGUUCUACGUUAGAGUUAGAGCCCGAUAAGGAAACAUUAGAUAAAUCGCGCGAAUGCAUCGUGGUCGUGCCUUUAUUCUUCUCGGAGACCUCUGUCUCCGGCAUUGUGUCUUCGUUGCUCUUUGUUUCUGUUUCUGUCAUGCGUUCCUCUUACCGGUGAACGUUCGUAAUCCUUCUCUCGGUGCUCGCCUAAUGCAAUGCACAAGUUCUCCAAGGGUCCUUUACGAAGAAACGCUCUUUUCUCCAUCGACGACCAUUUUUGGCGAUUGGAAUUCGGAGCGCACGAUCAGGAUUCUCUUUCUGGUUACAUGGAACUUGGGAAUAACGCAGUCGCGGACCUUUGCACACAAUCACGGAACCGAUUUAUCUAGCGCGAUUCUCGGCGACUUUCAUAGAAACGCAGCGCACGAGUUAAAUACGAAUCGCGAAACGCAGCGAAUUGUCAGGCGAGUGCAGCGUUUAAGGAGAUGGUUGAAUCAGUGUAUCGAGCGUGCACGUAAAGCGCUUCCUGCUCGUAAUUGGACACUUUUCACGGUUUCGUGACUAAGCGGUCUGUCCAAAGCUCGAGUAUAAUAUCGGCAACCUGGUAUCGCCGUACACAGCGAAGGUCAUCGUACUUCCGGGUGAGUUCUGGCUGCAUUUUUUCCACCGUUCUUGUGGCUCGACAAUACGUGGAUCGAUCUCUCGACAAUCGAAACUGUUUCAUUCAUCGUUAACGUCGAGUCGAUGAAUGAGAAGGAUUUGAUAGGACAAGUAAAUGCGAGUUUUCUCUAUUUCACGAAUGCUGGUUGAUGCAGGGGAAAGGGUAGGAAUAUCAGGUAUAUUUAUAUUUUACUUUUGAUCUAGUUUCGAACACACACACAAAAAAAAAAAGAAAAGAGAAAGAAAGCGAA